UAUACGCUUUAGGGGUAUUCUGUAAAGAAUUGAGAGAGUCCCUUUGAACCUGAUCCGGCUAACACCGGCGUAGGGAAAAGCAAUCAGUCCAUC
rfam:Sphingobacterium faecium PCAi_F2.5 genome assembly, contig: Scaffold37